AACGAACGCUGGCGGCAUGCCUAACACAUGCAAGUCGAACGAAGUCUUCGGACUUAGUGGCGCACGGGUGCGUAACGCGUGGGAAUCUGCCCUUGGGUGCGGAAUAACUUCUCGAAAGGGAUGCUAAUACCGCAUAAUGUCGUAAGACCAAAGAUUUAUCGCCCAAGGAUGAGCCCGCGUAAGAUUAGCUAGUUGGUGGGGUAAAAGCCUACCAAGGCGACGAUCUUUAGCUGGUCUGAGAGGAUGAUCAGCCACACUGGGACUGAGACACGGCCCAGACUCCUACGGGAGGCAGCAGUGGGGAAUAUUGGACAAUGGGCGAAAGCCUGAUCCAGCAAUGCCGCGUGAGUGAUGAAGGCCCUAGAGUUGUAAAGCUCUUUUACCAGGGAUGAUAAUGACAGUACCUGGAGAAUAAGCUCCGGCUAACUCCGUGCCAGCAGCCGCGGUAAU
rnacentral:rRNA from 1 species